GACGAACGCUGGCGGCGUGCUUAACACAUGCAAGUCGAACGGAAAGGCCCCUUUGGGGGUACUCGAGUGGCGAACGGGUGAGUAACACGUGAGUAACCUGCCCUUGACUUCGGGAUAACUUCAGGAAACUGGGGCUAAUACCGGAUAGGAAUCCUUGCUGCAUGGUGGGGGUUGGAAAGCUUCGGCGGUUUUGGAUGGACUCGCGGCUUAUCAGCUUGUUGGUGGGGUAGUGGCUUACCAAGGCUUUGACGGGUAGCCGGCCUGAGAGGGCGACCGGCCACAUUGGGACUGAUACGGCCCAGACUCCUACGGGAGGCAGCAGUGGGGAAUAUUGCACAAUGGGCGGAAGCCUGAUGCAGCAACGCCGCGUGCGGGAUGACGGCCUUCGGGUUGUAAACCGCUUUCAGCAGGGGCGAAGCUUGUGGUGACGGUACCUGCAGAAGAAGCACCGGCUAACUACGUG
rnacentral:rRNA from 1 species